GCCCGAAUGGCGGAAUUGGCAGACGCGCCGGGUUCAGGUCCCGGUCCACGCAAGUGGUUGGAAGUUCGAGUCUUCUUUCGGGCA
rnacentral:tRNA from 1 species